rnacentral:snRNA from 1 species
CGCUGAAAUUUCCAGCGAUUAC